rnacentral:rRNA from 1 species
UACGUAGGGGGCUAGCGUUAUCCGGAAUUACUGGGCGUAAAGGGUGCGUAGGUGGUUUCUUAAGUCAGAAGUGAAAGGCUACGGCUCAACCGUAGUAAGCUUUUGAAACUGAGAAACUUGAGUGCAGGAGAGGAGAGUAGAAUUCCUAGUGUAGCGGUGAAAUGCGUAGAUAUUAGGAGGAAUACCAGUAGCGAAGGCGGCUCUCUAGACUGUAACUGACACUGAGGCACGAAAGCGUGGGGAGCAAACAGG